rnacentral:rRNA from 1 species
AUUGAACGCUGGCGGCAGGCCUAACACAUGCAAGUCGAGCGGAUGAAGAGAGCUUGCUCUCUGAUUUAGCGGCGGACGGGUGAGUAAUGCCUAGGAAUCUGCCUGGUAGUGGGGGAUAACGUUCCGAAAGGAACGCUAAUACCGCAUACGUCCUACGGGAGAAAGCAGGGGACCUUCGGGCCUUGCGCUAUCAGAUGAGCCUAGGUCGGAUUAGCUAGUUGGUGGGGUAAAGGCUCACCAAGGCGACGAUCCGUAACUGGUCUGAGAGGAUGAUCAGUCACACUGGAACUGAGACACGGUCCAGACUCCUACGGGAGGCAGCAGUGGGGAAUAUUGGACAAUGGGCGAAAGCCUGAUCCAGCCAUGCCGCGUGUGUGAAGAAGGUCUUCGGAUUGUAAAGCACUUUAAGUUGGGAGGAAGGGUUGUAACCUAAUACGUUGCAAUUUUGACGUUACCGACAGAAUAAGCAC